AGAGUUUGAUCCUGGCUCAGAACGAACGCUGGCGGCAGGCUUAACACAUGCAAGUUGAACGGGAUUUGUGUGGUGCUUGCACCAUAUAAUGAGAGUAGCGCACUGGUGAGUAACACGUGGGAACGUACCUUUUGGUGGGGGACAACAUCUGGAAACGGAUGCUAAUACCGCAUAAGACCUGAGGGUGAAAGAUUUAUCGCCGAAAGAACGGCCCGCGGAAGAUUAGGCAGUUGGUGGGGUAAAGGCCUACCAAACCUACGAUCUAUAGCUGGUCUGAGAGGACGAUCAGCCACACUGGAACUGAGACACGGUCCAGACUCCUACGGGAGGCAGCAGUGAGGAAUAUUGGGCAAUGGAGGCAACUCUGACCCAGCCAUGCCGCGUGAGUGAAGAAGGUUUUCGGAUUGUAAAGCUCUUUCGGAUGUGACGAUGAUGACGGUAGCAUCUAAAGAAGCCCCGGCUAACUUCGUGCCAGCAGCCGCGGUAAUACGAAGGGGGCGAGCGUUGUUCGGAAUUACUGGGCGUAAAGGGUGUGUAGGCGGUUAUGUAAGAUAGCGGUGAAAUCCCGGGGCUUAACCUCGGAAUAGCCGUUAUAACUAUGUAGCUAGAGUUAUGGAGAGGAUAGCGGAAUACCCAGUGUAGAGGUGAAAUUCGUAGAUAUUGGGUAGAACACCGGUGGCGAAGGCGGCUAUCUGGCCAUAUACUGACGCUGAGGCACGAAAGCAUGGGGAUCAAACAGGAUUAGAUACCCUGGUAGUCCAUGCUGUAAACGAUGAAUGCUGGUUGUCGGCUUUAGGGUCGGUGACGAAGUUAACGCGAUAAGCAUUCCGCCUGGGGAGUACGGUCGCAAGAUUAAAACUCAAAGGAAUUGACGGGGACCCGCACAAGCGGUGGAGCAUGUGGUUUAAUUCGA
rnacentral:rRNA from 1 species